GAUGAACGCUGGCGGCGUGCCUAAUACAUGCAAGUCGAGCGAACAGACGCGGAGCUUGCUCCUCUGACGUUAGCGGCGGACGGGUGAGUAACACGUGGAUAACCUACCUAUAAGACUGGGAUAACUUCGGGACACCGGAGCUAAUACCGGAUAAUAUAUUGAACCGCAUGGUUCAAUAGUGAAAGACGGUUUUGCUGUCACUUAUAGAUGGAUCCGGGCCGCAUGAGCUAGUUGGUAAGGUAACGGCUUACCAAGGCAACGAUGCGUAGCCGACCUGAUAGGGGGGUCGGCCGCACUGGAGCGGGGCCACGGUCCAGACGCCUACGGGAGGCAGCAGUAGGGAACCGUCCGCAACGGGCGAAAGCCUGACGGAGCAACGCCGCGUGAGUGAUGAAGGUCUUCGGAUCGGAAAACUCUGUUUUGAGGGAAGAACAACUGUGUAAGUAACUAUGCACGUCGUGACGGUACCGAAUCAGAAAGCCACGGCUAACUACGUG
rnacentral:rRNA from 1 species